AUUUCAAUGAAAACAGUGUGU
rnacentral:piRNA from 1 species